GAUGAACGCUGGCGGCGUGCCUAAUACAUGCAAGUCGAGCGAACAGACGAGGAGCUUGCUCCUCUGACGUUAGCGGCGGACGGGUGAGUAACACGUGGAUAACCUACCUAUAAGACUGGGAUAACUUCGGGAAACCGGAGCUAAUACCGGAUAAUAUAUUGAACCGCAUGGUUCAAUAGUGAAAGACGGUUUUGCUGUCACUUAUAGAUGGAUCCGCGCCGCAUUAGCUAGUUGGUAAGGUAACGGCUUACCAAGGCAACGAUGCGUAGCCGACCUGAGAGGGGGAUCGGCCACACUGGAACUGGGACACGGUCCAGACUCCUACGGGAGGCAGCAGUAGGGAAUCUUCCGCAAUUGGCGAAAGCCUGACGGAGCAACGCCGCGUGAGUGAUGAAGGUCUUCGGAUCGUAAAACUCUGUUAUUAGGGAAGAACAAAUGUGUAAGUAACUAUGCACGUCUUGACGGUACCUAAUCAGAAAGCCACGGCUAACUACGUG
rnacentral:rRNA from 1 species